AAAAGUUCGGGGAUGACUUGUGGGUAGAGGUGAAAUUCCAAUCGAGCUUGGAGAUAGCUGGUUCUCUUCGAAAUAGCUUUAGGGCUAGCGUCUUAGUUAAGUAUGUUGGGGGUAGAGCACUGAAUGUUCUAGGGGCCGUAUAGGUUACCGAAAACUAUCAAACUUCGAAUACUAGCAUAUAUAUAAGGCAGUCAGACUACGAGUGAUAAGAUCCGUGGUCGAAAGGGAAAAAGCCCAGACCAACAGCUAAGGUCCCCAAAUGUAUGUUAAGUGGAAAAGGAUGUGAAAUUGCACAGACAACCAGGAUGUUGGCUUAGAAGCAGCCAUACAUUAAAAGAGUGCGUAAUAGCUCACUGGUCGAGUGGUUUUGCGCCGAAAAUUACCGGGGCUCAAACAUACUACCGAAGCUUUGGACUCACGUAGUGAGUGGUAGAAGAGCAUCGUAUAAUAGGAAGAAGGGGAGUUGAAAAGCGACCUGGACGAAAUACGAGAGAGAAUGUUGGCAUGAGUAGCGAGAGGAAGGUGAGAAUCCUUCCGGCCGAAAACCCAAGGAUUUCUGAGGAAGGUUCGUCCGCUCAGAGUAAGUCGGGACCUAAGGAAAGGCAGAAAUGCGUAUCUGAUGGACAACAGGUAAAGAUUCCUGUACCUACGCUUAUCGACAAAGAGGAGAAGGAAUGACGCAGGAGGAUAGGAUGAGCACGCGAAUGGAAAGGCGUGUCCAAGCAGUAAGUUAGGUAAUAUAGGCAAAUCCGUAUUACUGAAGAUAUGAGCUGUGAAGGGGAGAGAAAAUAGUAUCGAAGCAUCUGAUUUCACACUGACAGGAAAAGUUUCUAUCCAGAUAAGAGUAGCCCGUACCGUAAACCGACACAGGUGGGAGAGGUGAGAAACCUAAGGCCAGCGAGAGAACUGUUGUUAAGGAACUCGGCAAAAUGACCCCGUAACUUAGGGAUAAGGGGUGCCUACGAGAGUAGGCUUCAAGAAAAAGGCCCAAGCGACUGUUUACCAAAAACAUAGGUAUCUGCGAAACCGCAAGGUGAAGUAUAGGUGCUGACGCCUGCCCGGUGCUGGAAGGUUAAGAGGAGAUGUCAGGCAACGAAGCAUUGAAUUUAAGCCCCAGUAAACGGCGGCCGUAACUAUAACGGUCCUAAGGUAGCGAAAUUCCUUGUCGGGUAAGUUCCGACCCGCACGAAAGG
rnacentral:rRNA from 1 species